rnacentral:lncRNA from 1 species
CCCUUCUGCUCCUUGGCCAGGGGGCACAGCUUGGGCCGUGGCUGCCCGCUGGCACCGGUGGGCCUGCAAUGCCCCCUUCCCCUCCACCCCCCCAGCCCUGCCCCUCAGCUGGCACGGCAGGCCCGGAGCAGGCCCUGGGGACGGCCCCCACGGACACCCGGCCCUGCCAGGUGCUCACCGCUGCUCACGCUUGCUCUCUCCUUCCUCUCCAGUGUGCAUGCUGUGCCGCCGGGCACAGGUCAACCCGGACAUCUGCGGGCAGACAUUUGCCUGUGGUGGGCUCUGUGCCCACCAGUUCUGCUUGUUCUUUGCCAAUGGCCUUUUGGAAUGGAGAAGCCCAGUGGGGGAAAUUUUUGGCUUCUCCAUUGAUGCCAUCCAGCGCACAAUCCAGCUGGCAGACCAGAAGCACUGCUUUGUCUGUGGCGGGAGGGGAGCUUCCAUCAGCUGCGCGGAGACCGGCUGUGAGCGCAGCUUCCACCUGCCCUGCGCCGAGGACGGGGAAUGCGUCACCCAAUACUUUGGGCAGCACAGGUCCUUCUGCUGGGAGCAUCGCCCUCGGCAGGCAGCGGAGGCAGCUCCAAUGCAGAACACCAUCUGCGUCAUCUGCCUGGAGCCUGUGGGGGACAGCACGUCCUACCACACCGUGGUGUGCCCGGUGUGCAAACAGGCCUGGUUCCACCGGGGCUGCAUCAGGGUAGGAGCCCUCCCCUCGCCCUGUGGGCACGGCCGGUGCUCAGCAGCACCCAGCCCCGCUCACGCUCACGCUUGUGCUUCUCCUGCAGAAACAUGCCCUGCACGCUGCCACCACACGCUUCUUCUGCCCUGUCUGCGGGGAAAAAGCGAUAUUCCGAUCCCAAAUGAGCACACUGGGGAUCCAAAUUCCAGUCAGACGACUAUCUUGGUGGGACGACGCAGCAUACCAGCCGCUGCAAGAAAGGCACAGGCGCUGUGAUGCCAGCAUGUGCAUCUACCUAGGAGGCAGGGAGAGGGCACAGGAAGAGGGGUGAGUGACCUCUACUGUCCUCUGGGGCUCUGCGUGGGAUCUCAGCCUCACCACAGGCUGGGGGUGCAAGGACUGAGCACCAGAG